UACGAAGGGGGCUAGCGUUGCUCGGAAUCACUGGGCGUAAAGCGCACGUAGGCGGAUUGCUAAGUCAGGGGUGAAAUCCUGGAGCUCAACUCCAGAACUGCCUUUGAUACUGGUGAUCUUGAGUCCGGGAGAGGUGAGUGGAGCUGCGAGUGUAGAGGUGAAAUUCGUAGAUAUUCGCAAGAACACCAGUGGCGAAGGCGGCUCACUGGCCCGGAACUGACGCUGAGGUGCGAAAGCGUGGGGAGCAAACAGG
rnacentral:rRNA from 1 species